rnacentral:rRNA from 1 species
UACGUAGGGGGCUAGCGUUGUCCGGAUUUAUUGGGCGUAAAGAGCGUGUAGGCGGCCAGGUAGGUCUGCUGUGAAAACUCGAGGCUCAACCUCGAGACGUCGGUUGAAACCGUACGGCUAGAGUCCGGAAGAGGAGAGUGGAAUUCCCGGUGUAGCGGUGAAGUGCGCAGAUAUCGGGAAGAACACCCGUGGCGAAGGCGGCUCUCUGGGACGGUACUGACGCUGAGACGCGAAAGCGUGGGGAGCGAACAGG